rnacentral:sRNA from 1 species
CUUUAAUCUUUAAACCGAUCAAAGCGACAUCCUUUUGGCUAUGGUGCCGAACGCAGUGAAGAACAGCCAAAUGAUAUAGCGCAGAGCGGGAACUCAC